rnacentral:rRNA from 1 species
AUUGAACGCUGGCGGCAGGCUUAACACAUGCAAGUCGAGCGGGGGAAGGUAGCUUGCUACCGGACCUAGCGGCGGACGGGUGAGUAAUGCUUAGGAAUCUGCCUAUUAGUGGGGGACAACAUCUCGAAAGGGAUGCUAAUACCGCAUACGUCCUACGGGAGAAAGCAGGGGAUCUUCGGACCUUGCGCUAAUAGAUGAGCCUAAGUCGGAUUAGCUAGUUGGUGGGGUAAAGGCCUACCAAGGCGACGAUCUGUAGCGGGUCUGAGAGGAUGAUCCGCCACACUGGGACUGAGACGCGGCCCAGACUCCUACGGGAGGCAGCAGUGGGGAAUAUUGGACAAUGGGGGGAACCCUGAUCCAGCCAUGCCGCGUGUGUGAAGAAGGCCUUAUGGUCGUAAAGCACUUUAAGCGAGGAGGAGGCUACUUUAGUUAAUACCUAGAGAUAGUGGACGUUACUCGCAGAAUAAGCACCGGCUAACUCUGUGCCAGCCGCCGCCGUAA